rnacentral:tRNA from 1 species
GGAGAUUUAGCUCAGUGGUAGAGCGCUUGCCUAGGCUCUGCAAGGCCCUGGGUUCGGUCCCCAGCUCCG